GUUUAAAAGGUUAUUUUCUAUUUAAAUUUCUUUUUUUUUUAAGACAAAAGGAUUAUAAUAGAAAAUCGGUUAUGAAACCAUUAGUGUACAACACGAAAUCUUAAGUGUAUAAUUUGGUCCCUUCUUCCAGUCAAGAAUAUUGCCCUUUCGGAGAAAAUGAAGAUCGAUUUUUAAUAUUAAAUACAAAACGGCUUUACUCUUAUUAGUAUUUUGCGAACAGUAACUCUAGCUCUUUGAUCCAGGUGGUACCCACAAGGGGAAUUCAAAACUAAGUUCUUAGAAUCUACGACCAUGACCGUGGUGGACGGUUUCCUCCUUGGGUGGGUGGGUACGAAUGUAUUCCAAAGAUUUUAAGAUGGCUUCUGGGAUGGGGUGGGGAGUGGGCAAAACAUCACUGUUGGGUUGGUAACCGUUUUCAUCGGCAACAUAGCUAACAGCAACGUGUUCGCCUUCAGGAGAGAUCCAUUGGAAGUCACCACGCACAUUACCGUAAGCAUCACCGCUAGACUUGGCACUGAUGCCAUUAGUAGUUUCCAAAUGGUAAUCGAAACCUUCGGGACGGACAUCAGAAGCAGCUGA